ensembl:rRNA 5S_rRNA 5S ribosomal RNA
AUCAAUGGCCAUGGUAACCUGAAUGUGCCUGAUCUAGUCUGAUCUCGGAAGCUAAGCAGGGUCAAGCCUGGUUAGUAUUUGGAUGGAAAAAGGCAUUUCAGGAGGCCCCAGGAACCAUAUAAA